rnacentral:rRNA from 1 species
AGAGUUUGAUCCUGGCUCAGGAUGAACGCUAGCGGGAGGCCUAACACAUGCAAGCCGAGCGGUAUAGAAUCUUCGGAUUUUAGAGAGCGGCGUACGGGUGCGGAACACGUGUGCAACCUACCUUUAUCUUGGGGAUAGCCUUUCGAAAGGAAGAUUAAUACCCGAUAAUAUAUAAUAUGGCAUCAUAACAUAUUGAAAGCUCCGGCGGAUAGAGAUGGGCACGCGCAAGAUUAGUUAGUUGGUGAGGUAACGGCUCACCAAGACGAUGAUCUUUAGGGGGGCCUGAGAGGGUGAUCCCCACACUGGUACUGAGACACGGACCAGACUCCUACGGGAGGCAGCAGUGAGGAAUAUUGGACAAUGGGUGCAAGCCUGAUCCAGCCAUCCCGCGUGAAGGACGACUGCCUAUGGGUUGUAAACUUCUUUUGUAUAGGAAUAAACCUCUCCUCGUGAGGAGAGCUGAAGGUACUAUACGAAUAAGCACCGGCUAACUCCGUG